CCGAGCAUGUCGGGAGUUGUAGUUGGUCCGCCCGGGCCCCGCCCCUCGACCGUGCGGUGACGCCACUUCAGGGCUGUCCCCCGGAGCUUUUGGGCAGGCGUCGUCGUCCCUGUCACCGCCACGUCGCGGACAUGGUGAUUUCAGAAAGUAUGGAUAUACUCUUCAGAAUAAGAGGAGGCCUUGAUUUAGCUUUUCAGCUAGCUACUCCUAAUGAAAUUUUUCUCAAGAAGGCACUGAAACAUGUGUUGAGUGACCUGUCAACCAAGCUUUCUUCAAACGCCCUUGUGUUCAGAAUUUGCCACAGUUCAGUGUAUAUAUGGCCUAGCAGUGACGUAAACACCAUUCCUGGAGAACUGACUGAUGCUUCCGCUUGUAAGAACAUACUGCGCUUUAUUCAAUUUGAGCCGGAAGAAGAUAUAAAACGAAAACUCAUGAGAAAGAAGGACAAAAAGUUAUCAGACAUGCAUCAAAUAGUAAAUAUAGAUCUUAUGCUGGAAAUGUCAACCUCCCUGGCAGCUGUAACGCCCAUCAUUGAAAGGGAAAGCGGAGGACACCAUUAUGUUAAUAUGACUUUACCUGUCGACGCAGUUAUAUCUGUGGCUCCAGAAGAAACAUGGGGAAAAGUUCGUAAACUCCUAGUUGAUGCAAUUCAUAAUCAACUGACUGACAUGGAAAAAUGUAUUUUGAAAUAUAUGAAAGGAACGUCUAUUGUGGUCCCUGAACCACUGCACUUUUUAUUACCAGGGAAAAAAAAUCUUGUAACAAUUUCCUAUCCUUCAGGAAUACCAGAUGGCCAGCUGCAGGCCUAUAGGAAGGAGUUACAUGAUCUCUUCAAUCUGCCUCAUGACAGACCCUAUUUCAAAAGGUCUAAUGCUUAUCACUUUCCAGAUGAACCAUACAAAGAUGGUUACAUUAGAAAUCCACAUACUUAUCUUAAUCCACCUAACAUGGAGACUGGUAUGAUUUGUGUGGUCCAGGGCGUAUAUGGUUAUCAUCAUUAUAUGCAGGAUCGGAUUGAUGACAAUGGCUGGGGCUGUGCUUAUCGAUCUCUGCAGACUAUCUGCUCUUGGUUCAAACAUCAGGGAUACACAGAGAGGUCCAUUCCAACACACAGAGAAAUUCAGCAGGCUCUAGUCGAUGCCGGUGACAAACCAGCAACAUUUGUCGGAUCACGGCAAUGGAUUGGAUCUAUUGAGGUACAGCUGGUACUAAACCAAUUGAUUGGUAUAACUUCAAAAAUACUGUUUGUCAGCCAAGGUUCAGAAAUGGCCUGUCAAGGACGGGAACUGGCGAAGCACUUCCAGAGCGAAGGAACUCCAGUUAUGGUCGGUAAGCUGUUUCAGACAUCGGUUUUGGUAGAGGGGAGGAGUUUUGGCCCACACGAUACUAGGAGUUGCAUGGAAUGAGAUUACAGGGCAGAUAAAGUUUCUGAUUCUAGAUCCACAUUAUACUGGUGCUGAAGACCUGCAAGUUAUUUUGGAAAAGGGCUGGUGCGGAUGGAAGGGUCCAGACUUUUGGAACAAGGAUGCAUACUAUAACUUGUGUCUUCCUCAGCGACCAAAUAUGAUUUAAAAUAUCUUGGAGUCAAAGACUGCAGUAGAGUGGUAUUAUAAAUUUGUGAAUAAAGAAUCAGUUUAAUUUCACCUUAAAUCCUGGUUCUAGUUUGACGGUUUAAAUUAUGACCUUUUUCAAAGGUUGUAAAUACUGCACGGAGAAUGUAUUUUUUAGACAUUCCUUUAAUAAAACUUAAAAGACAAAGCAUACACAACCAGCAUGGUAUAGGCAUGUAAAUACAUGUGUUCUUAAAUGGAUCUUCACUUGGAAGAAAGUUUUUCCUCCUUCUCAGGAGGAGUUUAGACACACAUAUGGUAAAGCCAAAAGCAGGAGCUUAUAGAUCUGCAUGAAAUGAGGGCGUUCUUCAGACUUCUUCAUGACCCACGUGACAUCUGUUUUUAAAAAAACAUGCUGACGUUAAAAACUUUUUUUAAAAAAAUGAGUUUUAUCCCCAACUUCCACCAUGCAGGCCCAUUUUUGGUCUCUAGACUCAUAUAACCAAUAUUAAGAUGUUAAUGAGAAUGAAACACCACUACUAGAAAUAAGAGUGUCAAUAUUAAAUGGAAUAAUAAAUGCUAUGCAAAUGAGAUCAAUUGCUGAGGGAGGAAAACAGCAGCUCUGAGUUACUUACCAACACUUCCUUUUCCCACUGAUACUUCCUACACUUCCAAAACUUCGCUUCUGUCUGAGCACAGGAACACGAUCAUUCCUGUCCGAGUGUUCACUUGGUUUUAUUGUCUGCAUGCAUUUAAUUGUUGUAAGAAACUUGGCACAGUCUGGAAAUCCACAUGACCAAGCGAGAUCUUCAGCUGUUUGCCCGUUCUUAUUACAUAAACUGAAAUAUGAUAAAAAUUGAGUUAAAUGAAAAA